CCUCUGCACUGUGAAGCCCACGUGCUAACCACUGGACUACCGGGCCGCCCAGGACUUAUUAAACAGAGUAUAAUUAAGGUAACUAACAUAAAAGAAUAUAAUGCAUGAAUAUAAAAUGAUAAUAAUUAACAAUUUAACAAAAGCUUACAUAUAUAUAUAUAUAGAAUAUUCCUGCUCCUCUUUCCCAAAACUGAGGUUACCCCAACAAUGACGUGUUGCCUUUUCCCUUAGGGAACACCAGCUUCUGGAAGUUGGUGCUGCUCAGGGCGGCCCUCUUCGGCCUAAGGAUGUCACUGGCUCAAAAAGUUAUCAGCUUUUUGAUAAGAAUACAAAAAAAAACCUGAAGACAAACAAUCAUCUAAAGAAUAUUGAUACUGUAAGUAAAUCCUUCUUGAGGCCACUGGUACUUGAUUUCAAAGAUUCAUGACCUGCUAGGAUUUUAAAUUGCUAUCAUU